UAAAGGUUUACGGGAUCGAGGCCCGUCGAUCUAG
rnacentral:tRNA from 1 species